rnacentral:lncRNA from 1 species
CUUUGGGUAGCGAUAAAGCGGGAUAUCAAAUCCAAACUCUUCUUCAACAUUUUACCUCCUCCCUGAAAAAACUCAACAAUUUUGACCCGAGCCCCCAAAAAGGGGGUAGAUCACUGCCAGUUUUUAACUCUGUGAGUAGAUGGCAGUCUCUUGGGAGUUGGCCACCCCUGCUGUAUUGCAAAUCGGUUGGACUGGAUUGAGCCUUAGUUAGGCUCCCCUCCCAAUUCUCCCAUUCCAUGCUUUCCACGCUGCUGCCCUGAAGGCCCACCUUACCGGCAAAGUUCUUGGUGAAAACCAGCGUGACGAGGACGAUGGGGAUGAGGACGGUGCCGAUGGUGACGACGCGGUCGAAGGGCAGCUCGAGCUUGAGCUGCAGCAGCAGCGCCGCCAGCGAGCCCGCCUUGUCGUCCUGCGCACCGGGCAGGAUCAGCUCCUUGAGUUUCUCGCCCGCCAGCAGCGCCGUGGCCAUGUCCGGGUGGUUCUCGAUGAUGUGUUGCAUAAGCGGCGCUCCUCACCCGGGCGCUCCUGCCUGCAGCAGGGGAAGCGUCGCCGCCUGGCCGCCUUGAUGGGAGUCCUUUUUUUUAAAUCCCCGCGCCUCUCCUGCUCCCAAGCCGAGAGAGGAGCGCAAGGGUGACUCGGCAAAAUCAGAGAUGGUAAAGGGAAAAAAAUAAAUAAAAUCCGGCUGCGGCAGGCUGGCAAGACUCCGGCCUUCACAUAGUACUUCCUUUUGGUCCCCAAGUCUAGUGCAGGAUCUCACCCACCCGCCUCUCCGAAGAAGAGAGGGGCGAUUUGCAAAGGGCAGUUGCACGAAAGGAAGCGUCCUCCGCGGUAGCCGCCGCAACGAGCUGUUGGAGAAGGCGCUUUGCAGCGGCGAAGGAAGCCCCCCAGCGGAAUGCAAUGGGUUGAACGCCGCCCAGAGGUCGUUUAAGGUCUCCGCUUAAACAUCUGGAAUUGGUGGAGCUGCCAGCAGCGGCAGGAGUGGGGGCUUUGCUCCAGGAGAGAAGGGUGGCCGCGAGGAGGCAUAGGCUGCAGGCAUUAUCGGCUCAGAAGCUGCCGAGUCACCCAGUGCAACACGUUGCGCCUCGAAGUGGCGACAGACAGCUUCUCCUGCCGCUGCCUGGGAAUGGCUCGGCGGCAUCUCCGGCUGCUUUUGAGGCUGGCAGCCUGGUUAGAAGCGACGGAGGGAGCCCCUUUGGAUAAAAGGGGGGGCCAGGAAAGCCGCCUCUGGGCCUCAUUGCGGAGGCAACCAAAGGAACCCGGCGGCGAGCGCUGAAGCGGCGCAAAUGCAAAUGCAGAAGGGGAUUUAUUUCGAUUGCUAGUCGCCCCAUCCUCUUCCCCCUCUCUCUCUCUCGACACCUAGCUCUUGUUCUGCAAUGGCAUUAGUGCAGCCAAGUCCUCUGCAUGUUUGCCCACAAAAACAUCCCGUGGAGUUCAGUGGGUGUUUGUACUCCCGUGACACGCGAGAGUGCAUAGGGACUGCAGCCCUGGGUGGUGGUUGUUAUAAUUUGUUGUUAUUGUUUAGCCGUUUAGUUGUGUCCGACUCUUCGUGAGUCAACGUACGGUGAGAACUGAGAACUAUGCAAAACUCAAGGCAAAAGAGCUUCUUGUUAUAUUAUAAAGGAUGGGAAUUAUUUAGUUUUUCAGAUAUUGCUGUACUACAACUCUCAUCAUCCCUGUUUGUCACGCUGGUUGGCGAUAGGCC